GUGAUGACAGUAAGGUUGCUGAGGGACUGAAUCAGCCAGUCAUUGACCUGUCUCUUAGGGAACAAGUGUAGAUUCCACUUAAAACUCCUAUGAUUUUCCUUUCUGUCUUUUGGAUAUAUCCUUUGCAGUAUAAUCACAAGAAAUGCCUUAGCAUGUGCAUUAACUGUAAAAGAAUGAGGAAUUGCCUUGGGGACACGCCAUUAAAUCAUAACAAUGAAUCAAUCUCUGAAUAGGAAAAGGGAGUUUGCUUUUCCCAGGGAAAAAAAAAAGCAAACAAACCACCACCUCCUGUUGCACAGUGAAGAGGAAACUAGAAGAAGCUUCCAUCUUGCUCAGGACAAGACCAGUGGCUGGCUUUUGCUUCUCAAAGGGAGGAAAAUAGUGUGGCCUCCAGAGAUAAUACCUGGAGGCAAGGAAAACAGAUUCAGCAAAAUCCUUGUCCAAACCCUGGAAAUAUCCAGAAGAUAUAAAGGAGAAGAGUUCACUCAAGAUCAAAAAAUGCUGAAGGUCGAAAACAUCCCGGGACGCUGCUUCUGUAGAAUCCACAUCACUGGACUAUUUCUACCUCCUCACUAAAGAUGUUCAGAAAUGGAGACAAAUACAAGCAUGAGAGGGAGUUCUAAAGAUGAGAAGCAAAAAUUACAUGGCAGGUAUGUACCUGUACUUCCCACUCAUUAACGGUUAAGGAUUAAACGCAAGAAUGGGGACGGCCUUUUAUCUGUCUUCUUUUCUUGCUGCAUUAUACACAAAU
rnacentral:lncRNA from 1 species